CCUACGGGUGGCUGCAGUAGGGAAUAUUGCUCAAUGGGGGAAACCCUGAAGCAGCAACGCCGCGUGGAGGAUGAAGGUUUUAGGAUUGUAAACUCCUUUUGUUAGAGAAGAUUAUGACGGUAUCUAACGAAUAAGCACCGGCUAACUCCGUGCCAGCAGCCGCGGUAAUACGGAGGGUGCAAGCGUUACUCGGAAUCACUGGGCGUAAAGAGUGCGUAGGCGGGGUAAUAAGUCAGAUGUGAAAUCCUGUAGCUUAACUACAGACCUGCAUUGGAAACUGUUACUCUGGGGUGUGGGAGGGUAGGGUGAAUGCUUGGGUUAGGGGUUAAAUGCAUAGAGAUCAAGGAGAA
rnacentral:rRNA from 1 species